GGCGAGUGGCGAACGGGUGAGUAAUAUAUCGGAACGUACCCUGGAGUGGGGGAUAACGUAGCGAAAGUUACGCUAAUACCGCAUACGAUCUAAGGAUGAAAGUGGGGGCUUCGCAAGAACCUCAUGCUCCUGGAGCGGCCGAUAUCUGAUUAGCUAGUUGGUAGGGUAAAAGCCUACCAAGGCUUCGAUCAGUAGCUGGUCUGAGAGGACGACCAGCCACACUGGAACUGAGACACGGUCCAGACUCCUACGGGAGGCAGCAGUGGGGAAUUUUGGACAAUGGGCGCAAGCCUGAUCCAGCAAUGCCGCGUGAGUGAAGAAGGCCUUCGGGUUGUAAAGCUCUUUUGUCAGGGAAGAAACGGUGAGGGCUAAUAUCCCUUGCUAAUGACGGUACCUGAAGAAUAAGCACCGGCUAACUACGUGCCAGCAGCCGCGGUAAUACGUAGGGUGCAAGCGUUAAUCGGAAUUACUGGGCGUAAAGCGUGCGCAGGCGGUUUUGUAAGUUUGUCGUG
rnacentral:rRNA from 1 species